UACGUAGGUGGCAAGCGUUGUCCGGAAUUACUGGGCGUAAAGGGCGUGUAGGUGGUCUAGCAAGUCAGGUGUGAAACCCUAGGGCUCAACCCUAGGCAUGCAUUUGAAACUGUUAGACUUGAGGGCAAGAGAGGAAAGUGGAAUUCCUAGUGUAGCGGUGAAAUGCGUAGAUAUUAGGAGGAACACCAGUGGCGAAGGCGACUUUCUGGAUUGACCCUGACACUGAGGCGCGAAAGCGUGGGGAG
rnacentral:rRNA from 1 species